rnacentral:tRNA from 1 species
ACCCUUGUAGCUCAGUUGGAUAGAGCAUCCGCCUUCUAAGCGGAUGGUCGCUGGUUCGAAUCCAGCCGAGGGUGCCA